rnacentral:rRNA from 1 species
GACUGUGCAAAGGUAGCAUAAUAAUUUGUCUUUUAAUUGGAGGAUGGAAUGAAUGGUUUGACGAAGAUAGAGCUGUCUCACAUAUAUUUAUUAAAAAUUGAUUUUUAGGUUAAAAGGCCUAAAUUUAAUUAAAGGACGAGAAGACCCUAUUAAGCUUGAAGGGAGUACUUAAUUUUUGCUAUAAUAUGAGAUGUAAGUGUUGAGGGCAAAAUUUUAGUUGGGGCGACUUGGGAGCAGUAAAAACCUCCUUUAGGUUGGACAAAAUUUAAUUUAUGGCCCAAAAUUUUUGAGUUAAGAAUAAGUUACUAUAGGGAUAACAGCGUGGUUUUAUUUGAGAGUUCUAAUCGAAAGUAAAGUUCGCGACCUCGAUGUUGGAUUAAGAAGUAGUAAAGGUUGCAGAAGCUUUUAUAAUUAGUCUGUUCGACUAUUAAUAUCUUACAUGAU